CGGAGGAUCCAAGCGUUGUCCGGAUUUAUGGGUUUAAAGGGUGCGUAGCGGGUUAUUAAGUCAGUGGUGAAAGCCGGCAGCUCAACUGUCGAACUGCCAUUGAAACUGAUAGCCUAGAAUGCAGUAGAGGUAGGCGGAAUGUAUCAUGUAGCGGUGAAAUGCUUAGAUAUGAUACAGAACACCAAUUGCGAAAGCAGCUUACUAUGCUAUUAUUGACGCUGAGGCACGAAAGCGUGGGGAUCAAACAGGAUUAGAUACCCUGGUAGUCCACGCUGUAAACGUUGGAUACUAGCUGUUCGGAGCAAUCUGAGUGGCUAAGCGAAAGUGAUAAGUAUCCCACCUGGGGAGUACGUUCGCAAGAAUG
rnacentral:rRNA from 1 species